UACAGAGGGGGCGAGCGUUGUUCGGAAUUACUGGGCGUAAAGGGCGCGUAGGCGGCCACCGCAAGUCGACUGUGAAAAUCUCCGGGCUUAACCCCGGAAAGGUCAGCCGAUACUGCGGGGCUAGAGUGCAGAAGGGGCAACUGGAAUUCUCGGUGUAGCGGUGAAAUGCGUAGAUAUCGAGAGGAACACCUGCGGCGAAGGCGGGUUGCUGGGCUGACACUGACGCUGAUGCGCGAAAGCUAGGGGAGCGAACGGG
rnacentral:rRNA from 1 species